rnacentral:rRNA from 1 species
AUUGAACGCUGGCGGCAUGCUUUACACAUGCAAGUCGAACGGUAACAGGCCGCAAGGUGCUGACGAGUGGCGAACGGGUGAGUAAUGCAUCGGAACGUGCCCAGUCGUGGGGGAUAACGCAGCGAAAGCUGCGCUAAUACCGCAUACGAUCUAUGGAUGAAAGCGGGGGACCGUAAGGCCUCGCGCGAUUGGAGCGGCCGAUGUCAGAUUAGGUAGUUGGUGGGGUAAAGGCUCACCAAGCCGACGAUCUGUAGCUGGUCUGAGAGGACGACCAGCCACACUGGGACUGAGACACGGCCCAGACUCCUACGGGAGGCAGCAGUGGGGAAUUUUGGACAAUGGGCGCAAGCCUGAUCCAGCAAUGCCGCGUGCAGGAAGAAGGCCUUCGGGUUGUAAACUGCUUUUGUACGGAACGAAAAGACUCUCUCUAAUACAGGGGUGAAGUGACGGUACCGUAAGAAUAAGCACGGCUAACUACGUGCCAGCACG